rnacentral:rRNA from 1 species
GGGUGGUAAUACCGGAUGCUCCGCUCCAUCGCAUGGUGGGGUGGGAAAUGCUUUUGCGGCAUGGGAUGGGGUCGCGUCCUAUCAGCUUGUUGGCGGGGUGAUGGCCCACCAAGGCGUUGACGGGUAGCCGGCCUGAGAGGGUGACCGGCCACAUUGGGACUGAGAUACGGCCCAGACUCCUACGGGAGGCAGCAGUGGGGAAUAUUGCACAAUGGGCGCAAGCCUGAUGCAGCGACGCCGCGUGCGGGAUGGAGGCCUUCGGGUUGUAAACCGCUUUUGUUCAAGGGCAAGGCACGGUUUCGGCCGUGUUGAGUGGAUUGUUCGAAUAAGCACCGGCUAACUACGUGCCAGCAGCCGCGGUAAUACGUAGGGUGCGAGCGUUAUCCGGAUUUAUUGGGCGUAAAGGGCUCGUAGGCGGUUCGUCGCGUCCGGUGUGAAAGUCCAUCGCCUAACGGUGGAUCUGCGCCGGGUACGGGCGGGCUGGAGUGCGGUAGGGGAGACUGGAAUUCCCGGUGUAACGGUGGAAUGUGUAGAUAUCGGGAAAGAACA